rnacentral:rRNA from 1 species
AAACUUUCAACAACGGAUCUCUUGGUUCUGGCAUCGAUGAAGAACGCAGCGAAAUGCGAUAAGUAAUGUGAAUUGCAGAAUUCAGUGAAUCAUCGAAUCUUUGAACGCACAUUGCGCCCCUUGGUAUUCCUUGGGGCACGCCUGUUCGAGCGUCAUU